rnacentral:rRNA from 1 species
CCUACGGGAGGCAGCAGUGAGGAAUAUUGGUCAAUGGACGAGCGUCUGAACCAGCCAAGUAGCGUGAAGGAUGACUGCCCUAUGGGUUGUAAACUUCUUUUAUAAAGGAAUAAAACGAGGCACGUGUGCCCUUUUGCAUGUACUUUAUGAAUAAGGAACGGCUAACUCCGUGCCAGCAGCCGCGGUAAUACGGAGGAUCCGAGCGUUAUCCGGAUUUAUUGGGUUUAAAGGGAGCGUAGAUGGGUUGUUAAGUCAGUUGUGAAAGUUUGCGGCUCAACCGUAAAAUUGCAAUUGAUACUGGCAGUCUUGAGUACAGUUGAGGUAGGCGGAAUUCGUGGUGUAGCGGUGAAAUGCUUAGAUAUCACGAAGAACCCCGAUUGCGAAGGCAGCUUACUAAACUGUGACUGACAUUGAUGCUCGAAAGUGUGGGUAUCAAACAGGAUUAGAUACCCGGGUAGUC